rnacentral:lncRNA from 1 species
GAGAGAUGUAGUGAGAUUUUCAAUUUCUAUUUCCAGUAGCAUGUUGCUUGAGUAUGGUGUAGAGAAGCACAGUUGAUUUCUGCAUUUUUAUCUUGUGUCGGUUCUGUCCACAGUUCGGCAGAUUCCGUAGAAUCUUCUGUUUCUUCAUUGAUGACAUGGGGACAAUGUGACGGCACUUAAAUCAGAGGUCAUCUAAAAGGUUUUUCCUGGUUCCUGGAGUCUCAGAGCCUUCCCUGACCACCAGCCAUGUGAGGCUACCGAGUCCUUGAACUGUGGUUGUUGAGAUGUGCCUGGAGUUGAAACACACCGGACUUCUAAGACUCAGUACAAUGUAAUGUAAAGUAGUUUGUUUGUUUGUUUUGUUUUUCAAGACAACUUUCUCUGUUUAGCCCUGGCUAUUCUGGAUCUCACUCUAUAGACCAGGCUGGCCUUGAACUCAUCUGCGUGUGCCACCACUGUAAAUUACUGACAACUAUUUAACAUUUAUUGAAUGGGCUGGUUUUUUUUUUUUCAAUGUGAUAUAAACCAGAGUUACCUAGGAAGAAGAAACCUCAUCAGAGAAUUGUAUCCAUCAUAUAGGCUCACAGAUAUGCCUAUGGGGACGUUUACAAAAUAAUGAUAGAUGUGGGAGGGCCCAGCCCACUAUGGAUGGUGCCAGCGCUGGGCAUCAGGCCAGUGAGCAACAGUGAUUGCUCCCUCUGCUCUCUCAUGAGUUCUAUCCCCGAAGCCUCUCAAUGAAGGACUGUGGCAUGGAUGUGUAAGCCAAACGAACCCUUCCUCCUCACAUUGCUUUUGGUCAGGGUUUUUCACAGCAUCAGAAUAGUCACUAUAUAUUUAACUGAUUUAUCAAUACAUGUAUAUGUUAGAUAUGUUACACUCAAUAAAGU